rnacentral:tRNA from 1 species
GGAGGGUGGGUAUGGCUCAGUGGUAGAGCGUGUGCUUAGCACGCACAAGGUCCUGGGUUCAAUCCCCAGCACCUCCA